AUUGAACGCUGGCGGCAUGCUUUACACAUGCAAGUCGAACGGUAACAGGCCUUUGGGUGCUGACGAGUGGCGAACGGGUGAGUAAUGCAUCGGAACGUGCCCAGAGGUGGGGGAUAACGCAGCGAAAGCUGUGCUAAUACCGCAUGUGAUCUGAGGAUGAAAGCGGGGGACCAAGCAGCAAUGUUUGGCCUCGCGCCUCUGGAGCGGCCGAUGUCAGAUUAGGUAGUUGGUGGGGUAAAGGCCUACCAAGCCGACGAUCUGUAGCUGGUCUGAGAGGACGACCAGCCACACUGGAACUGAGACACGGCCCAGACUCCUACGGGAGGCAGCAGUGGGGAAUUUUGGACAAUGGGCGAAAGCCUGAUCCAGCAAUGCCGCGUGCGGGAAGAAGGCCUUCGGAUUGUAAAGCGCUUUUGUACGGGACGAAAAGGAUCUGGCUAAUACCUGGGGCUGAUGACGGUACCGUAAGAAUAAGCACCGGCUAACUACGUG
rnacentral:rRNA from 1 species